CAAUAAAUCUCAAUACGAAGCCUUUGGUUUUGUAAUUGAAUUGAGAACAAUGUACAAUCGUUAUCGAUAAACAAUUGGAGGGCAAGUCUGGUGCCAGCAGCCGCGGUAAUUCCAGCUCCAAUAGCGUAUAUUAACGUUGUUGCAGUUAAAAAGCUCGUAGUUGAAGUUUAGAUAAUUUAUUGAAAGUGUUUGUAUUCGUACAUUCUACUUUUAUGUAAGUUAUCGACAUCCAGGUGGGUGCCAUGGUUCCGCAAGGAAUUGUGAUACUAGACUGGUCAUUUACUGUGAGAAAAUUAGAGUGUUUAAAGCAGACUUUUAUUCAGUUUGAAUAGAUUAGCAUGGAAUAAUAAGAUUGGCUUUCAUAGUCGAUUUUUUGGUUUGUUUAUGAAAGCAAGAUUAAUGGGGACAGUUGGGGGUAUUCAUAUUCAAUAGCUAGAGGUGAAAUUCUAUGAUUUAUGGAAGAUGAACAAGUGCGAAAGCAA
rnacentral:rRNA from 1 species